UACGUAGGGGGCGAGCGUUGUCCGGAAUCAUUGGGCGUAAAGAGCGUGUAGGCGGCUCGGUAAGUCCGCUGUGAAAGUCCAGGGCUCAACCCUGGAAUGCCGGUGGAAACUGUCGAGCUAGAGUCCGGAAGAGGCGAGUGGAAUUCCUGGUGUAGCGGUGAAAUGCGCAGAUAUCAGGAGGAACACCAAUGGCGAAGGCAGCUCGCUGGGACGGUACUGACGCUGAGGCACGAAAGCCAGGGGAGCAAACGGG
rnacentral:rRNA from 1 species